CAUCCCAGCCAAGGCUUUGUCUACCCGGGUCUGCAAAACCUCCAAGGAUGGAGACUGCACCACCUCUCUGGGGACCCUGGUUCAGUGCUUCACGGCCCUCCUGACAAGAGAUUUCACAG